rnacentral:rRNA from 1 species
GGGUAGGGGAGCAAUCCCCGAGACCGGCGGACGGGUGCGUAACGCGUAUGCAACUUGCCUUAUACAGGGGGAUAGCCCGUGGAAACGCGGAUUAAUACCCCAUAUGUCAUUUGGGUCGCAUGGUUUGAAUGAUAAAGCUGAGGUGGUAUAAGAUGGGCAUGCGUCUGAUUAGCUUGUUGGUAGGGUAACGGCCUACCAAGGCGACGAUCAGUAGGGGUUCUGAGAGGAUAAUCCCCCACACUGGUACUGAGACACGGAUCAGACUCCUACGGGAGGCAGCAGUGAGGAAUAUUGGUCAAUGGGCGAGAGCCUGAACCAGCCAUUCCGCGUGAAGGAAGAAGGCCUUAUGGGUUGUAAACUUCUUUUCUGUAAGAAGAAAAGUCCCGACGUGUCGGGAUGUGACGGUAUUAUAGGAAUAAGCAUCGGCUAACUCUGUGCCAGCAGCCGCGGUAAUACAGAGACUGCAAGCGUUAUUCGGAUUCACUGGGCGUAAAGGGUGCGCAGGCGGCCAGAUGUGUCAGGUGUGAAAGCCCGGGGCUCAACCCCGGAAUUGCGCCUGAAACUGUCUGGCUAGAGUACUGGAGAGGGUAGCGGAAUUCACGGUGUAGCAGUGAAAUGCGUAGAUAUCGUGAGGAACACCAGAGGCGAAGGCGGCUACCUGGACAGUAACUGACGCUCAGGCACGAAAGCGUGGGAGCAAAAGGGAUUAGAUACCCCUGUAGUCCACGCCCUAAACGGUGCACACUAGGUGUUGGCGGAUUCGACCCCGUCAGCGCCCAAGCUAACGCGUUAAGUGUGCCG